GCCCUGAUAGUUUAGUGGUAAAACAAACCCUUGGUAAGGGUUAGACUGUGAGUUCGAUUCUCACUCAGGGCUCAA
rnacentral:tRNA from 1 species